AUUGAACGCUGGCGGCAGGCCUAACACAUGCAAGUCGAACGAGUGGCGGACGGGUGAGUAAUGUCUGGGACACUGCCUGAUGGCGGGGGAUAACUACUGGAACCGGUAGCUAAUACCGCAUACCUUCCGAUGUGCCCAGGGGGGAUUAGCCAGUUGGUGGGGUAACGGCUCACCAAGGCGACGAUCCCUAGCUGGUCUGAGAGGAUGAACGGCCACACUGGAACUGAGACACGGUCCAGACUCCUACGGGAGGCAGCAGUAGGGAAUAUUGCACAAUGGGCGAAAGCCUGAUGCAGCCAUGCCGCGUGUAUGAAGAAGGCCUUCGGGUUGUAAAGUACUUUCAGCGGGGAGGCGUUACCCGCAGAAGAAGCACCGGCUAACUCCGUGCCAGCAGCCGCGGUAAUAC
rnacentral:rRNA from 1 species